rnacentral:rRNA from 1 species
UACGUAGGGGGCAAGCGUUGUCCGGAUUUAUUGGGCGUAAAGAGCGUGUAGGCGGUUUGGUAGGUCCGCUGUGAAAACUCGAGGCUCAACCUCGAGACGCCGGUGGAAACCAUCAGACUAGAGUCCGGAAGAGGAGAGUGGAAUUCCUGGUGUAGCGGUGAAAUGCGCAGAUAUCAGGAGGAACACCAAUUGCGAAGGCAGCUCGCUGGACGUUACUGACGCUGAGACGCGAAAGCGUGGGGAGCAAACAGG